rnacentral:rRNA from 1 species
AGUGAACGCUGGCGGUAGGCCUAACACAUGCAAGUCGAACGGCAGCACAGUAAGAGCUUGCUCUUACGGGUGGCGAGUGGCGGACGGGUGAGGAAUACAUCGGAAUCUACUUUUUCGUGGGGGAUAACGUAGGGAAACUUACGCUAAUACCGCAUACGGCCUACGGGUGAAAGCAGGGGAUCUUCGGAUCUUGCGCGAUUGAAUGAGCCGAUGUCGGAUUAGCUAGUUGGCGGGGUAAAGGCCCACCAAGGCGACGAUCCGUAGCUGGUCUGAGAGGAUGAUCAGCCACACUGGAACUGAGACACGGUCCAGACUCCUACGGGAGGCAGCAGUGGGGAAUAUUGGACAAUGGGCGCAAGCCUGAUCCAGCCAUACCGCGUGGGUGAAGAAGGCCUUCGGGUUGUAAAGCCCUUUUGUUGGGAAAGAAAAGCAGCAGGUUAAUACCCCGCUGUUCUGACGGUACCCAAAGAAUAAGCACCGGCUAACUUCGUG